AUACGUAGGGAGCGUGCGUUGUCCGGAAUUACUGGGCGUAAAGGGCGCGUAGGCGGCGCUUCAAGUCGUCUGUCAAAUGGGAGGGCUUAACCCUUUUUCGCAGACGAAACUGGAGAGCUUGAGAAGCAGAGAGGCAAACAGAAUUCCUGGUGUAGCGGUGAAAUGCGUAGAGAUCAGGAAGAAUACCAGUGGCGAAGGCGGUUUGCUGGCUGCAUACUGACGCUGAAGCGCGAAAGCCAGGGGAGCGAACGGGAUUAGAUACCCCGGUAGUCCUGGCAGUAAACGAUGUAUGCUGGGUGUGAGACUAGCGAUAGUUUCGUGCCGAAGUUAACGCGAUAAGCAUACCGCCUGGGGAGUACGGUCGCAAGAUUGAAACUCAAAGGAAUUGACGGG
rnacentral:rRNA from 1 species